GAAAAAAUAAUAGAAAAAGAAAAAGAAAAAGAAGAUAAAAAGGAGAGAAAGAAACACCUUUUAUCGUCUCAAUCUGUUAACUCAUCCUCCGAGUCCCUUCCUCUUACUUCC
rnacentral:ribozyme from 12 species